UGGGGAAUUUUGGACAAUGGGGGAAACCCUGAUCUAGCCAUCCCGCGUGUGCGAUGAAGGCCUUCGGGUUGUAAAGCACUUUUGGCAGGAAAGAAACGUCAUGGGUUAAUACCCCGUGAAACUGACGGUACCUGCAGAAUAAGCACCGGCUAACUACGUGCCAGCAGCCGCGGUAAUACGUAGGGUGCAAGCGUUAAUCGGAAUUACUGGGCGUAAAGCGUGCGCAGGCGGUUCGGAAAGAAAGAUGUGAAAUCCCAGAGCUCAACUUUGGAACUACAUUUUUAACUACCGGGCUAGAGUGUGUCAGAGGGAGGUGGAAUUCCGGGUGUAGCAGUGAAAUGCGUAGAUAUGCGGAGGAACACCGAUGGCGAAGGCAGCCUCCUGGGAUAACACUGACGUUCAUGCACGAAAGCGUGGGGAGCAAACAGG
rnacentral:rRNA from 1 species